rnacentral:miRNA from 14 species
GAAAUGCCUCCAUGAGAUCCAGCUGUAAGGCAUUUUCUCAAUUAGUGAUCAAGGGGGAAGGACCCCUUGUGGGUGGUACCAUCCCUGGGCUGGUGGUCUUG